rnacentral:rRNA from 1 species
GAUGGGUGCAAACUCCCUAAACCAUUGUGACGUUACCCUUAACCGUUGCUUCGGCGGGCGGCGCCAUGCCGCCCCUCGGCCCUUCCCGGGCGCCCGCCGGAGGAUACCCAACUCUUGAUAUUUUAUGGCCACUCUGAGUCUUCUGUACUGAAUAAGUCAAAACUUUCAACAACGGAUCUCUUGGUUCUGGCAUCGAUGAAGAACGCAGCGAAAUGCGAUAAGUAAUGUGAAUUGCAGAAUUCAGUGAAUCAUCGAAUCUUUGAACGCACAUUGCGCCCGCCAGUAUUCUGGCGGGCAUGCCUGUUCGAGCGUCAUUUCAACCAUCAAGCCCCCGGCUUGUGUUGGGGACCUGCGGCUGCCCGCAGGCCCUGAAAAACAGUGGCGGGCUCGCUGUCACACCGAGCGUAGUAGCAUCAUUCUCGCUCAGGGCGUGCUGCGGGUUCCGGCCGUUAAACGACCUUCAUAACCCAAGGUUGACCUCGGAUCAGGUAGGAAGACCCGCUGAACUUAAGCAUAUCAAUAAGCGGAGGAAA